rnacentral:rRNA from 1 species
UGGGGAAUAUUGGACAAUGGGGGCAACCCUGAUCCAGCAAUGCCGCGUGUGUGAAGAAGGUCUUCGGAUUGUAAAGCACUUUCGACGGGGACGAUGAUGACGGUACCCGUAGAAGAAGCCCCGGCUAACUUCGUGCCAGCAGCCGCGGUAAUACGAAGGGGGCUAGCGUUGCUCGGAAUGACUGGGCGUAAAGGGCGUGUAGGCGGUUUACACAGUCAGAUGUGAAAUCCCCGGGCUUAACCUGGGAGCUGCAUUUGAUACGUGUAGACUAGAGUGUGAGAGAGGGUUGUGGAAUUCCCAGUGUAGAGGUGAAAUUCGUGGAUAUUGGGAAGAACACCGGUGGCGAAGGCGGCAACCUGGCUCAUUACUGACGCUGAGGCGCGAAAGCGUGGGGAGCAAACAGGAUUAGAUACCCGUGGUAGUCCACGCUGUAAACGAUGUGUGCUAGAUGUUGGGUAACUUUGUUAUUGCAGUGU